AAACCAACAGGGAUUGCCUUAGUAGUGGCGAAUGAAGCGGCAAGAGCUCAAAUUUGAAAACUGGCAUCUUCGAUGUCCGUGUUGUAAUUUGAAGAAGAUAUUCUUGGGUUAGGUCCUUGUCUAUGUUCCUUGGAACAGGACGUCACAGAGGGUGAGAAUCCCGUGCGAUGAGGUCCCCUUUCCUAUGUAAGAUGUCUUCGAAGAGUCGAGUUGUUUGGGAAUGCAGCUCUAAGUGGGUGGUAAAUUCCAUCUAAAGCUAAAUAUUGGCGAGAGACCGAUAGCGAACAAGUACUGUGAAGGAAAGAUGAAAAGAACUUUGAAAAGAGAGUGAAAAAGUACGUGAAAUUGUUGAAAGGGAAGGGUAUUCGAUCAGACUGGUAUUUAGUUAUCAUUACUCCUUGUGGGUGGUGCUCUAACUUUUUACUGGGCCAGCAUCGGUUUUGAUGGUAAGAUAAUCGUAGUUGAAUGUGGCUCUUCGGAGUGUUAUAGCUUCUGCUGAUAUUACCUAUCGGGACCGAGGUCUGCGGCUUUGCCUAGGAUGCUGGCGUAAUGAUCCAAUACCGC
rnacentral:rRNA from 1 species